ACUGCCCAUCUUCUCUCUGUCUUAUUUUUUUGAUUUGUUCUGUUUCUCUUUCAUUUCUUCUCCAUUAGUUGGUGUAUAAUAUUUCUUUUGUUGGUGUUGUUUCUUUUGUUACUCUUUUACCGUCUCCAGUCACUUCUUCCAUGCCCACUACCUUGCUUUCUCCAUUCCCCCCUUCUUCUUUUUUUCCUAACUGAUCCUCACUCAAGAUUGAAAUAUAAGUUGCGAAGAAGAAAGAAUUUGCAGCUAAGGUAUUUCAAUGCCUCCCUGUUAUGUGGUUUCUGGGAUAGCAAAGGUUGGCUAUGAAGCUGGGUACUGUAGCUCCCGCACAUUUGAUAUGAUGAAUCAAGCAACACUUUGGAUUUUGAAGCUCUCAAAUGGAGUUGUGUCAUUAAUCUAUGUGGAGCUAUGUUGCUCGGACCCUUCACUUUUGCUGCUGCAGCCGUGUCCAACACCGACACCGGAUUCGUGUCGGAUUUGGUCAAACGACAUUGGAUACUUUGACCAAAUCCAUGGACCAAUUUGAGAAAACAUUUGAGGCCAAAUUGAAAGAAACGGAGAGCUCUUGAAGAGUGGACACUUAUUGUAUCUAGAAGAGUUUCAAGUUAAUUAAAAAUUAAUAUUUAAUUAUAAAUGAAACAUAACUAAAAAAAUAUUUUUGUUUUUUAUUUCUAGGCAUAGAUUAAGUUAUUUUUCUUAUAAUUUUGAAUUAUUUUAGCCGAAUCCCUGCACCCGUAUCCGCACCUGGAUCCGUACCACCGAAUCUUAAAAUUUAGAUUAUGCCGAAUCUGACCUCUAGAUCCGUACCCGUAUCCGACACUCGACACUGAGUCCGAGCAACAUAGAUGUGGAGAAACCAAAAACUAUUGCCUCGCGAUGAGAUAGAGCAUGUAAAUGAGCUGCCAAAGUUGGAAAGGGAUUGUCAAAAGGAUGACGAGGCGCAAAAAUUGGCUCUUUAAAACUUGCUAAAACCUGAAGCUCUUGAAUCUUUUUUAUAUCUUUCCUCCUAAGUAGCAGUAGAUCUUUUCAUAUUCGUUUAAGGCUCUUCAUUCCUGAUACUGGCUACUGAAAUAAAUUACUUCUAUUGCAAUCGCUUGCUGGUUAUUUGAGUUUUAUGGAACUCAAUUCAUUUUAACAUUGUCUAUAUGAAUUACGUCUGUUCCUCUCUUUAAAAUUGAAGGUAUUGAGAGUGGUAAAUCAAACUUGUUAGAACCUAUACCUCACGAUCUUUUCUGCCACUAAGGCCAUCGCCGUACCAUGUAUAUGAGGACCCAAGAUUUGAGAAUAGUGGGGGCACUACUGUUCCGUGGCUACAAAAAUGUCAAGGAAAACAUUUUUUUCUAGCACCGGUAAUCAAACUUGAGUUGAUUACGUGGUACAAGGGAAGAGUAUAGUAUUUCUGUUAUCAUUAAUAGGUUGGAGAGGUCUCUCACGCAGGUUCUAAUACCUUUCUCAAGAAGUUUAGAAGGAAACUAAAGAGGAAGCUCAUUAUAACACAUCGGGGUAAAUGAUCGAUCUUCCAAGUGAAGGCUAAGUCUGUCUCAUGGAAGAUGAGAGUAUUUUACUUCUCUUGAUGGCUGGUCAAAUAAUAAUACUAUUCUGAACAUGCCCGAUAAUUGGUCUUGAACUGAUAAUGUUGCCAUAAGUUCACUCUCUUUAAGAAGACAUGUGAAAGCUUCUUUUGGUUUCACAAAUGAAAUUUAAAAGAAAGUGAAGGGGGUACAUAGUUAAGCUUGGUUAAGGCAUGCCUUUAUGUUCUAAUAAUAAUUCUGGUCAUCAUGCAUUAUUGCAGAUGCAAUGCAAACAUGAUUUAUUUAAUC